AAUGGGAAAAUUAUGUACAGUACACUAAACUAAUUGUAAACAUGUUUACUCUACACGGCGUUUGGUGUGAACACGACCUUAGUUAAGGAAACAGAUGUCCACGAUGUUCAAAUCUAAUAAAUCAAUCAAAAGAUAACAAAUAAAGUAAGGAAUAGCAUAAAAAAAGGACCGGGCUUGUGUCUUGUGGAUAAGCGUUUCCUGCUAUGCUAGGAUCACACGUCAUGCGAAUUAUUGCACAAGGAAAAUGUAACAAUCAGAUAAAGACAAAAUUGAUAGAAUUACAACUGUUGAGUAUCUUAAGAUACUAAAUGGAACCACAGACAUGAUGGUCGAUUUCGAACGUCCAUCUUCAUAGCUUUGUCGAAGCAGUUUUUAUGUUAGCAGCACAUCUGCCAAUAAGCGGAUAAUUUGAACAUGCACGGAAUAACGUAACGUCUCAAUUCAGAUAGGUACACGCC
rnacentral:lncRNA from 1 species